CCUACGGGGGGCAGCAGUGGGGAAUAUUGCGCAAUGGGCGGAAGCCUGACGCAGCGACGCCGCGUGAGGGAUGACGGCCUUCGGGUUGUAAACCUCUUUCAGCAGGGACGAAGCGAAAGUGACGGUACCUGCAGAAGAAGCACCGGCCAACUACGUGCCAGCAGCCGCGGUAAUACGUAGGGUGCAAGCGUUGUCCGGAAUUAUUGGGCGUAAAGAGCUCGUAGGCGGUUUGUCGCGUCGGCUGUGAAAGCCCGGAGCUCAACUCCGGGUCUGCAGUCGAUACGGGCAGACUUGAGUGUUGCAGGGGAGACUGGAAUUCCUGGUGUAGCGGUGAAAUGCGCAGAUAUCAGGAGGAACACCGGUGGCGAAGGCGGGUCUCUGGGCAACAACUGACGCUGAGGAGCGAAAGCGUGGGGAGCGAACAGGAUUAGA
rnacentral:rRNA from 1 species